GUCUACGGCUGUGCCACCCUGAACGCACCUGAUGUUGUCUGAUCUCUCAAGCUAGGCAGCGUCGGGACUGGUUAGUCCUUGGGUGGGAGAGACUGAGGCUGCAGCGGUUGCUCAAGGUC
rnacentral:rRNA from 1 species